CAGGCAGGGUGUAUCGGUCGCUCCGCAUAUGCGGGGAGGAAAGUCCGGACUCCACAGGGCAGGACGUCCCGGGGUUAACGCGGGAAUCCAUGUGCCAGAUCGCAUGGGAUGGAAAGUGCCGCAGAAAAUAUACCGCCCCGUUCGCGGGGUAAGGGUGAAAUGGUGGGGUAAGAGCCCACCGCGCGGAAGGUAACGACCGUGGCAGGGUAAACCCCGUCCGGAGCAAGAUCAAAUAGGGGACUUAGGAGCGGCCCGCUCUGUUUAAGGUUCCGGGUAGAUCGCAUAGAUAAAUGAUCGACACCUUCGGGUGAACAGAAUCCGGCUUACCGCCCUGCCUGUUUU
rnacentral:RNase_P_RNA from 1 species